rfam:Dipodomys ordii contig_38190, whole genome shotgun sequence.
GGUGGCUCAGUGGUAGAGCGCUUGCCUUGAAUGCGUGAGGCCCUGGGUUCGAUUCCUCAGCACCA